rnacentral:rRNA from 1 species
GAUGAACGCUGGCGGCGUGCUUAACACAUGCAAGUCGAGCGAAGCACUUUACUUGGAUUUCUUCGGAAUGACGAGUAUUGUGACUGAGCGGCGGACGGGUGAGUAACGCGUGGGUAACCUGCCUCAUACAGGGGGAUAACAGUUAGAAAUGACUGCUAAUACCGCAUAAGACCACAGCACCGCAUGGUGCAGAGGUAAAAACUCCGGUGGUAUGAGAUGGACCCGCGUCUGAUUAGCUAGUUGGUGGGGUAACGGCCUACCAAGGCGACGAUCAGUAGCCGGCCUGGGAGGGCGACCGGCCACAUUGGGACUGAGACACGGCCCAAACUCCUACGGGAGGCAGCAGUGGGGAAUAUUGCACAAUGGGGGAAACCCUGAUGCAGCGACGCCGCGUGAAGGAAGAAGUAUUUCGGUAUGUAAACUUCUAUCAGCAGGGAAGAAAAUGACGGUACCUGACUAAGGAGCCCCGGCUAACUACGUGCCAGCCGCCGCCGUAA